GAUGAACGCUGGCGGCGUGCCUAAUACAUGCAAGUCGAGCGAACGGACGAGAAGCUUGCUUCUCUGAUGUUAGCGGCGGACGGGUGAGUAACACGUGGAUAACCUACCUAUAAGACUGGGAUAACUUCGGGAAACCGGAGCUAAUACCGGAUAAUAUUUUGAACCGCAUGGUUCAAAAGUGAAAGACGGUCUUGCUGUCACUUAUAGAUGGAUCCGCGCUGCAUAAGCUAGUUGGUAAGGUAACGGCUUACCAAGGCAACGAUGCAUAGCCGACCUGAGAGGGUGAUCGGCCACACUGGAACUGAGACACGGUCCAGACUCCUACGGGAGGCAGCAGUAGGGAAUCUUCCGCAAUGGGCGAAAGCCUGACGGAGCAACGCCGCGUGAGUGAUGAAGGUCUUCGGAUCGUAAAACUCUGUUAUUAGGGAAGAACAUAUGUGUAAGUAACUGUGCACAUCUUGACGGUACCUAAUCAGAAAGCCACGGCUAACUACGUGCCAGCAGCCGCGGUAAUGCGUAGGUGGCAAGCGUUAUCCGGAAUUAUUGGGCGUAAAGCGCGCGUAGGCGGUUUUUUAAGUCUGAUGUGAAAGCCCACGGCUCAACCGUGGAGGGUCAUUGGAAACUGGAAAACUUGAGUGCAGAAGAGGAAAGUGGAAUUCCAUGUGUAGCGGUGAAAUGCGCAGAGAUAUGGAGGAACACCAGUGGCGAAGGCGACUUUCUGGUCUGUAACUGACGCUGAUGUGCGAAAGCGUGGGGAUCAAACAGGAUUAGAUACCCUGGUAGUCCACGCCGUAAACGAUGAGUGCUAAGUGUUAGGGGGUUUCCGCCCCUUAGUGCUGCAGCUAACGCAUUAAGCACUCCGCCUGGGGAGUACGACCGCAAGGUUGAAACUCAAAGGAAUUGACGGGGACCCGCACAAGCGGUGGAGCAUGUGGUUUAAUUCGAAGCAACGCGAAGAACCUUACCAAAUCUUGACAUCCUUUGACAACUCUAGAGAUAGAGCUUUCCCCUUCGGGGGACAAAGUGACAGGUGGUGCAUGGUUGUCGUCAGCUCGUGUCGUGAGAUGUUGGGUUAAGUCCCGCAACGAGCGCAACCCUUAAGCUUAGUUGCCAUCAUUAAGUUGGGCACUCUAAGUUGACUGCCGGUGACAAACCGGAGGAAGGUGGGGAUGACGUCAAAUCAUCAUGCCCCUUAUGAUUUGGGCUACACACGUGCUACAAUGGACAAUACAAAGGGCAGCGAAACCGCGAGGUCAAGCAAAUCCCAUAAAGUUGUUCUCAGUUCGGAUUGUAGUCUGCAACUCGACUACAUGAAGCUGGAAUCGCUAGUAAUCGUAGAUCAGCAUGCUACGGUGAAUACGUUCCCGGGUCU
rnacentral:rRNA from 1 species